ACGAUACGGACGAAAGUUCCGCCCCCGUCCUGGUGGCGACCCGUUUGGGCGAGAGGGUCGGCAGCGACGACACUGCCGCCGACGGUCCCGAGGAUGUGCAGCCUCGCGAGGAAAAGCCUGCU
rnacentral:ribozyme from 1 species